UUAUUACUCCCUCCGUUCGGAAUUACUUGUCUCGGAAAUGAAUGUAUCUAGAACUAGUUCUAGAUACAUUCAUUUCCGAGACAAGUAAUUCCGAACGGAGGGAGUACAUG
rnacentral:pre_miRNA from 1 species